rnacentral:tRNA from 1 species
GGUUGUAAAGCUCAGUGGUAGAGUGCUUGCUUUGCAUGCAUGAGGCCGUGGGUUCGAUUCCUCAGCACCA